rnacentral:rRNA from 1 species
GAACCCAUAGUCUCAAAUAAUUUAUUUAUAAUUAAUUUUAUUAUAAGAGCUUAAAUUUUCUCAAUUAAUUAAUUAAAUCAAUUACAUCGUAUUAAUAAUUUUUAUUAAUUAAUCUUUACUUUACAAUUUGCAAAAAUUUAUAUAGAUCAAAAAAUUCUUUAUUUAAAUUAAAUAUAUUAAUAAAUAAUUAAAUAUUAAAUUAAAUAUUAAAUUUUAUAUAAUAUUUAUAAAAUUCCCUAUUCGAAAUUUUAUUUAAUAAUUUAUUUUAUUAUUUAUUAAAUUUAAAUUAUAUUAAUUAUAAUAAUUAAAAUAAAUUAAACAAUUUUUAUUUAAAUUAAAUCUAUAUUAAAAUUUAUAUUUAUAAUUAAUAAAUAAUUUUAUAAAUAAUUUUAUUCUUUUUAUUUUAUUAUUACUAUUUUAAUCAUAUAUUUAUAAAUACAAAUUAUUUUUAAAUUUUUAAUUAAAUUCAUUAAGCCGUUUUAUUUAUAAGUGGACAAAUAGUUUUUGUACA